GCCAGACUCCUACGGGAGGCAGCAGUGGGGACUAUUGGGCAAUGGGCGAAAGCCUGACCCAGCAAUGCCGCGUGAAUGAAGAAGGUCUUAGGAUUGUAAAAUUCUGUCCUAUGGGAAGAAACAAAUGACGGUACCAUAGGAGGAAGCCCCGGCUAACUCCGUGCCAGCAGCCGCGGUAAUACGUAUGGUGCAAGCGUUAUCCGGAUUUAUUGGGUUUAAAGGGUGCGUAGGCGGAUUUUUAAGUCAGCGGUAAAAUGUCCGGGCUCAACCCGGGCCGGCCGUUGAAACUGGGGAUCUUGAGUGGGCGAGAAGUAUGCGGAAUGCGUGGUGUAGCGGUGAAAUGCAUAGAUAUCACGCAGAACUCCGAUUGCGAAGGCAGCAUACCGGCGCCCGACUGACGCUGAGGCACGAAAGCGUGGGGAUCGAACAGGAUUAGAUACCCGCGUA
rnacentral:rRNA from 1 species